rnacentral:rRNA from 1 species
UACGUAGGGUGCAAGCGUUGUCCGGAAUUAUUGGGCGUAAAGAGCUCGUAGGCGGUUUGUCGCGUCUGCUGUGAAAACGCGAGGCUCAACCUCGCGCCUGCAGUGGGUACGGGCAGACUAGAGUGUGGUAGGGGAGAUUGGAAUUCCUGGUGUAGCGGUGGAAUGCGCAGAUAUCAGGAGGAACACCGAUGGCGAAGACAGAUCUCUGGGCCAUUACUGACGCUGAGGAGCGAAAGCGUGGGGAGCGAACAGG